CAGGAUGUAGUAUAGCGGUAGUACACACCCCCCGGGCGGGUGAAGCCUGGGUUCGAUUCCCAGCAUCCUGA
rnacentral:tRNA from 2 species